CGUUUGUAAAUUAUCCAAUGGGCAAUGGCCCAUAUAGCUGAGAAGGCUAGCCCCAUCGAGACACAUCCCAUUUUCAGCAGGAUCCUCUGGUAUCAAGCCUGGCUGCUUAGCUAACCACUGUGAACCUUGAUGAAUAUAGGCAUCCAUAGACACACAUAACAAAAAUACAUCUUCAUUUUCAUCUAUUGUCUCCUUUCCUCCACCUGUUGUGAUCUGAAAACAUGUGAUAGGUAAAAGCAAUAUGGUGGACGCCUGCAGGUAAUCUACAUACACACGUGACCCGUCCAAUUCUAUUAGAUCAAUGCAGAAUAGGACAAGAGACUUGGAGAAAGAGGCACAUACGACUACAAUAUGUAUUAAUCAUGUCCUCUCUACUCACUUUCAUAUAGAAUAUAUAGAGCUCCAGAGUAGCCACUAUUAAAUAGUCAUUGCUAGAAACAAAGAAGACAUCUUAAGUUCUACCUAAGACAACAAUUUCAUAAUGCUAGGUCAUCUACAAGACCCUGCUAGGUAAAGUCCCCCCUUAUCUCCGCUCACUGGUCACCAUAGCAGCACCCACUCGUAGCACGCGCUCCAGCAGGUAUAUCUCUCUGGUCACCCCCAAAGCCAAUUCCUCCUUUGACCAUCUCUCCUUCCAGUUCUCUGCCGCCAAUGACUGGAACGAACUACAAAAAUCUCUGAAACUGGAAACACUUAUCUCCCUCACUAGCUUUAAGCACCAGCUGUCAGAGCAGAUCACUGCACCUGUACAUAGCCCAUCUAUAAUUUAGCCCAUACAACUACCUCUUCCCCUACUGUAUUUCUCCUUUGCACCCCAUUAUUUCGAUUUCUACUUUCUUCCACUGCAAAUUUACCAUUCCAGUGUUUUACUUGCUAUAUUGUAUUUACUUUGCCACCAUGGCCUUUUUUGCCUUUACCUCCCUUAUCGCACCUCAUUUGCUCACAUUGUAUAUAGACUUAUUUUUCUACUGUAUUAUUGACUGCAUGUUUGUUUUACUCCCAUGUGUAACUCUGUGUUGUUGUAUGAGUCGA
rnacentral:lncRNA from 1 species